AAUAUCCGCCCCCCGUUGAAAACGCCCUUAAACCCCCUCUAGGGACAAGGAGCUGGUAUCAGGCACCACAACUUGCCCAAGACACCUAGCUAUGCCACACCCACAAGGGAAUUCAGCAGUGAUUAACAUUGAGCAUUAGCGAAAGCUUGACUCAGUUAGAGUAAAAUAGAGCCGGGKAAUCUGGUGCCAGCCGCCGCGGUUACACCAUGUGGCUCAAAUUGACCUCCCCUUCGGCGUAAAGCGUGAUUAAAGGGGCUGAAUUAAAACUGAGCUGUGACACGCCUGUUUAUAAGAAACCCAAAACGAAAGUUACCCUAAUUCAAUCAACUUGAACUCACGACAGYCGGGAAACAAACUGGGAUUAGAUCCCCACUAUGCCCAGYCGUAAACUUUUAUUUACAUCUUAAUCGCCANGGAACUACNAGCUUAWGCUUAAAACCBVMMSGKUGUUCCUCANGGGCCCAUAUCCCCUAGAAGAGCCUGUCGUNCAAUCGAUAAUCCACGWUUAACCUCACCAUUUUUAGUUAAUCAGCCUGUAUACCUCCGUCGUCAGCUUACCACGUGAGCGCCUAUUAGUGAGCUUAAUGUCCCCACCAAUACGUCAGGUCAAGGUGCAGCAAAUGAAAUGGGAAGAGAUGGGCUACACUUUCUAAAUUAGAAAAAACGAAAAACUACAUAUGAAACCUAGUUUGAAGGCGGAUUUAGCAGUAAAAAGGAAUCAGCAUGUCCAUUUUAACUCGGCACUGGGGUGUGUACACACCGCCCGUCACCCUCUUCAAAGCUAAAACUAAGUCUUUAACAAAUAAGAGCAUAAUAUGAAGAGGCAAGUCGUAACAUGGUAAGUAUACCGGAAGGUGUGCUUGGAAACGUUAUGUGGCUUAACCUAAA
rnacentral:ncRNA from 1 species